UACGGAGGGUGCAAGCGUUAAUCGGAAUUACUGGGCGUAAAGCGUGCGCAGGCGGUUAUAUAAGACAGGUGUGAAAUCCCCGGGCUCAACCUGGGAACUGCAUCUGUGACUGUAUAGCUAGAGUACGGUAGAGGGGGAUGGAAUUCCGCGUGUAGCAGUGAAAUGCGUAGAUAUGCGGAGGAACACCGAUGGCGAAGGCAAUCCCCUGGACCUGUACUGACGCUCAUGCACGAAAGCGUGGGGAGCAAACAGG
rnacentral:rRNA from 1 species